CACUGUGAGGAUCUGAUGGAGGCAAUGGUCAGUUCGGAAAGAUCCAUUUACAAGACAGGAGACACAUUGCUGGUGAAGAGUGUGAGUCUCCCAAAGCCUGCAGGAGUGACUGAUGAUGUGUAUGUUGAUGAGGUGGCCUUCCUCACCACCCCAACUUCUGUGACACAGAUGUACCCGCCCGCCCUCAAGCAGAAGGGAAUCCUUAUUGAGGAUGUGGCAGUCAAGAAGGUGACAGAGAAUGGGUACUCCCUGGAAUUCCAGACCACAAACUGCAAGACUGGAAUGCCCCUCCUUGGUCUCCUGCAGGUGGAAGGUCCUCCAGCAAGCUUUGACACUCAGGUGACAGUCACAUGCUCCUCUCAGACUGCCACGGGUCCCCUCGCUGGCAACUGGGACCUCGGAAUUCAGGGGCAGGUUGUAAAAGACAUUCCAGCAGGUGUUGACCCAAAGGUCCUGGAGGGCAUUCUGGAAAGUGCCCUGGGAACUGAUCUCACAGUCCAGUACUCCGGCUCCUGCAAGAACUACCACUACUACAUUGAGUGGGAGGAAGAUCCCGGCAGAAAGGAGCUGGUGGAGAUACACACAGAUAACCUGAUGUUUGAUGGGCAAGGGGCUGCAGCACACCCUCACCCUGAGUGGCAUGGCCAUCACUGCCACCCAGCUCACCUGCACUGUAGCACUGUGGGGCGGCUUGCAUUCAGUGGCACUCAGCAUGCAGCCGGCUGGCUCGGCACUGCUCCCCUCCCCCAUCAUCUACAUGGUGCCAGUCACCGUGGUUGCACUCAGCAUCACGGAGGGAAGCACUGGUGGACAGUAUCCUCUCACUGUGACUGGCACUGGCUUCCCAGACAGUGAUGGGUGGGAGGCUGGCAGUGCCAUUAUGACUCUGGGUGGCAAGAAGUGUGUGGUUAUCUCUGGUGGACCCACAGAGGUCACCUGCACCGUGCCUGCUGGUGAGGCACGGUGGAUGUGGUGGUGGAUGUGGGCAGCACAAGUGGCUCCCUCCCUUCCUCCUUCACUUAUGACGUCUCACUGUCACCCACCAUCAUUGGCCUUUCCCUCCACACCCUCUCCCUCUUUG